AGCAAUACAUUGCUGAUACGAUGGUGGAUCCGAAACCUCUAGAAGGUUAACAUAGGCUCUCCAUUACCGACUCCUACUCAAUACGUCCCUGUCGUAUAGAAUGCCUUUACCAAUCGUAAGUGACUGAA
rnacentral:ribozyme from 1 species